CAGUCGCCGCGGGAAAACGUAGGGGGCGAGCGUUGUCCGAAGUUACUGGGCGUAAAGCGCGCGUAGGCGGUCUUUUAAGUCUGGGGUGAAAGGUUCACGGCUCAACCGGAACAGUGCCUUGGAUACUGGGAGACUUGAAUCUGGCAGAGGAUAGUGGAAUUCCUGGUGUAGCGGUGAAAUGCGUAGAUAUCAGGAGGAACACCGAUGGCGAAGGCAGCUAUCUGGGCUAAGAUCGACGCUGAGGUGCGAAAGCGCGGGGAGCAAACGGGAUUAGAUACCCCGGUAGUCCCUGUCUCUUAUA
rnacentral:rRNA from 1 species